rnacentral:rRNA from 1 species
CUACGUGCCAGCAGCCGCGGUAAUACGUAGGGCGCGAGCGUUGUCCGGAAUUAUUGGGCGUAAGGAGCUUGUAGGCGGUUUGUCGCGUCUGCUGUGAAAGGCCGGGGCUUAACCCCGUGUAUUGCAGUGGGUACGGGCAGACUAGAGUGUAGUAGGGGAGACUGGAAUUCCUGGUGUAGCGGUGGAAUGCGCAGAUAUCAGGAGGAACACCGACGGCGAAGGCAGGUCUCUGGGCUGUAACUGACGCUGAGAAGCGAAAGCAUGGGGAGCGAACAGGAUUAGAUACCCUGGUAGUCCAUGCCGUAAACGUUGGGCACUAGGUGUGGGGGACAUUCCACGUUUUCCGCGCCGUAGCUAACGCAUUAAGUGCCCCGCCUGGGGAGUACGGCCGCAAGGCUAAAACUCAAAGAAAUUGACGGGGGCCCGCACAAGCGGCGGAGCAUGCGGAUUAAUUCGAUGCAACGCGAAGAACCUUACCAAGGCUUGACAU